GGAGACCCUGCCGAUGCCACUCAGGGUCAAGACUCUGGCGCGGUGGAAACUGCAGAGCAAAAGGAAACACAGACAAAAACAGUGAGAAGGAGAGAGAGCAUGUGGGGCUUUGCCAGAGAGGAACUUGGAUGGCAAUCACCUAAGAACUCCAAACUCAGUGCCAGGGCAGACUGGUGUCUAUUUUGCAAUGUCUUCCAGUAGUUGAUAACUUUCUACUUUUAAAAUAAUUGGAAGAAUGUAAGCUCUCAACUAGUCCACUAGUCCCGAAACAAUAGAUACCAGCUGGCAGAGAUAAUAGCUGUCUGGAAGAGAGAGAUACAUACCACAUCAAAAAACAACAAAAAAAGGAUGGCUCAAGUACUCAAAAGGCAGCACUAAAAUAAGGCUAUGUCUCUUCCUGAGAAUACUCUGGACUUCAUUCUCUGAUUAAAGAUCACAACUGCUUCUUCGUUGAGGAAAUCAUGUAUUUCAAAGCCACCAAUGAACAAGAAUGACAAUCCAUGAAUUACACAGUAAACAAAUACUAUAUGUAUGAGACCGAUUCACUGUCACAAACCUGGAGAAGAAAACCCUUUUGAGGUUUAAAGCUGAGAGGGAGAUAAAAACUUGGUUGUACUACUUCUGGGAAAUGCUGAAGUUAUCCACGUGAUUUUCCAGUCACUGAUUAUUUUAGCAAAGUAACACAAACAGAGGAGGAGCUCUGGACUCUAGCUUCUCAUUUCUAAAAGAACAGAUGUAAUGGGAUGUAUUGGUCCAGCACUGAUAACAGGUUAUCCUACAAUCAAGUAUACUCUUUCCAGAAAGCUGAGUUAGAUUUUAACCUGAAUGGAAAAGACAAUAUGAGGGUGAUGAAAGACUCUAGAUGGUCCGUCUUGGUCUUUGAAAGAUGCUGGAAUAUAUGCCUGCUUGGCCAAUUAGUCCCCAAUAACUCUUCAGUGCCAUAGUACUGUGUGUAGAGAAAACCUCAAUGAAAAGAAAAUGGACAAUCAAGCUGGAUAAAAUACAUCCCUUAAAUGAGAACUACGCUAUGUGAAAAAAAAAUAGAAGAACAAGUCCUCAGCAAGUCAAUGAUCAUAAGAAAAACAGUUAUAUUGACUAGUUAUUUUGUGUGUUUGAUGUACAAUAUGGAGAAAUAUUAGUAGCCAAAUGAAUGUGACACAUUGACACAGAUGCAUUGUAAAUAUUAUGCUAUUGAGACCAUAGAUUCAGUUACAUUCCUCUGAUGAAUGUGGAUGCUUUCAUUUCCUGUUUUAGAAGGCAACUAACCUGAUUAAUAUCAAACUGCAAGCUCUGCCUUGUUUGCAGUAGGUGACUGCUCAAAUUGUAGUUAUUUUAGCCUCAGCUCUGAGAUAAUUUGUUUCUGUCCUGUUUUUCCCCCAACAAGUAUGGUUCAAGGUUCACAUACAGACUUGGCCAGAGUUCAUAUGCAGACUUUUAACUGCCUUCUUCCCAGGAUUUCCUCUCCAUUUUUGGGGUGGGUGGGCAGUGGGGUGCUGUGGUUGCACUGGGUCCUGUCAUCUGGUUCUUACCAACACAAAAUAUGAAGGUUUUUAAAGGAGUUUCAGUUAUUCUAAUUAUCCUGUACCUUAAGUUGUCUUUCUAAUACCUAGUGCUGGUUUCUUCUAAAUGUCAAAUCUCUUACAAAAACUGUUCUGUCUCAGGAAUUGUGUGUGUGUGAUUGUGCAUAUUCAGACUUUAUAGUUGUUACCUGCAUGACUGUCAGUCUAGUAGGAAUUCAUUCCAGCCUACUAGAAGAAAAAGUUUAUAUAUCAAUUUUGCAGAAAAAUAAUCCAAAUUGUAUAGGAUAUUACUCAAAAAGAAAACUUCGGAAAAGUUGUUUAAAUUUAUAAUCUUUUAGUUUUAAGCAAAUAUUUGUUAAACAUGCUUACUUCUCAGUUAGUGGAACAGAAGAAAAAAAAUGUAAUGUCAUCCCUGAACUCAGACACACAACACUUAAGAAAUUACAUUCAAAACAUAGGUGCUUUAACUUGAUAAGUACUUUAAAUGCAAUGCUAUAUCCAUUGUUUUCAAUGAACAUAGCAACAUUUUACAUGCACAAUAUAAUAAUGUGGUAAUUGCCAGAAAUAGUCCCUUUUUGCAAAUAUUUAAUGUAAUUCUACAGGAAAAAAUUUUAAGGCAGUAAAAUAAAAUGUAUUUCACGAUCUGCAAUGAUGUGUACCUUACUUUAGCCUUUUACUGCAACUAACUUCAGCAAAUAAAAUUUGGUGAAUAAUCUGUA
rnacentral:lncRNA from 10 species